AACGAACGCUGGCGGCGCGCCUAACACAUGCAAGUCGAACGAGAAGGCGUAGCAAUACGCUUGUAGAGUGGCGAACGGGUGAGUAAUACGUGGGUGACCUACCCUCGAGUGGGGAAUAACCCGCCGAAAGGCGGGCUAAUGCCGCGUACGCUUCCGUCCUCACGGGGACGGAAGGAAAGCUGUACCGUGGGUACGGCGCUCAAGGAUGGGCUCACGUCCUAUCAGCUUGUUGGUAGGGUAACGGCCUACCAAGGCUACGACGGGUAGCUGGUCUGAGAGGACGAUCAGCCACACUGGCACUGCGACACGGGCCAGACUCCUACGGGAGGCAGCAGUGAGGAAUAUUGCGCAAUGGGCGAAAGCCUGACGCAGCGACGCCGCGUGGGGGA
rnacentral:rRNA from 1 species